rnacentral:rRNA from 1 species
GACGAACGCUGGCGGCGUGCUUAACACAUGCAAGUCGAACGGAAAGGCCUCUUUCGGGGGGUACUCGAGUGGCGAACGGGUGAGUAACACGUGAGUAACCUGCCCUUGACUCUGGGAUAACUUCAGGAAACUGGGGCUAAUACCGGAUAGGAGCUCCUGCUGCAUGGUGGGGGUUGGAAAGUUUCGGCGGUUGGGGAUGGACUCGCGGCUUAUCAGCUUGUUGGUGGGGUAGUGGCUUACCAAGGCUUUGACGGGUAGCCGGCCUGGGAGGGGGACCGGCCACAUUGGGACUGAGAUACGGCCCAGACUCCUACGGGAGGCAGCAGUGGGGAAUAUUGCACAAUGGGUGGAAGCCUGAUGCAGCAACGCCGUGUGCGGGAUGACGGCCUUCGGGUUGUAAACCGCUUUCGCUCAUGACGAAGCUUUGUGUGACGGUAGUGGGUAAAGAAGCACCGGCUAACUACGUG